AUGCUUGUUUUGGCAGCACAUAUACUAAAAUUAGAACAUUACAGAGAAGAUUAGCAUGGUUUCUGUGCAAGAUGACACUCAAAUUCGCUAAGUGUUCCAUUUCUGC
rnacentral:snRNA from 1 species